rnacentral:rRNA from 1 species
AGGUGUAACGUCACGC